AGAGGGCACAAAAGCAUUCGUUCUAAGAGUGUUGGAAUGAAGCACUGCUGCGCAACAUUCUAGCCGAUGUUCCAGUUACCUUGGAGAUCCAGAAUAGGUCCGAGCUGCUUUUGGCAGCAAUAAUGUUUUGGUACCACUGGCUGGUUAGGAGUCAAAAACCAGCUGUCCUAGGCAAUCAGGUCAACCAAGUGAAUCAAGCACUGAGGAUGAAACUAGACAACGACAGAGAGAGCGUGCAAAGAAAUUUUCAAAGAAAGACGACCUUUUCUAUAACCGAUGUGGAACCAAAGAUGCUUACCAGGCCCCUCUCUCAGAUUCUGAUUCAGAGUAGUAGAUAUCGCUUAACAAAAUGGAUAGCGCCGGAGAUUCUCGAAAUGAGAUAAAAGUCGAAGGCCAUAGUUGUAAUUGGAAGUAACAAACAGUUGCUGUUGAUAAAAUCAUUUCCAGAUGAUAUAGGAAAAGAUUAGACUAUUACGGAACAAUUAUGUAUUAUUUAAGCUGCAAUAUCUAGAAUCUAGAUGUUAUCUUGAUAGCACCCUGGCAAUCUAGUUAUAUAGGCUAGAAACUAGAUAUAGAAGGCUUCCUAUUCAAUUAGGUUUGGAAUUUUUUUUUUUUUUUUUUUUUUUUUUUUUUUUUU